rnacentral:rRNA from 1 species
UACAGAGGUGCCAAGCGUUAGGCGGAAUCACUGGGCUUAAAGCGCGCGUAGGCGGAUGUUUAAGUGUCUUGUGAAAUCCCACGGCUCAACCGUGGAACUGCUGGGCAUACUGGACAUCUCGAGGCACUCAGGGGCGAGCGGAACAAGUGGUGGAGCGGUGAAAUGCGUAGAUAUCGGGAAGAACACCCGUGGCGAAGGCGGCUCUCUGGAACGGUACUGACGCUGAGACGCGAAAGCGUGGGGAGCGAACAGG